rnacentral:rRNA from 1 species
AUUGAACGCUGGCGGCAGGCCUAACACAUGCAAGUCGAACGAGCGGCGGACGGGUGAGUAAUGUAUGGGAAACUGCCCGAUGGAGGGGGAUAACUACUGGAAACGGUGGCUAAUACCGCAUACUAUCCGAUGUGCCAAGAUGGGAUUAGCUAGUCGGUGGGGUAACGGCUCACCUAGGCGACGAUCCCUAGCUGGUCUGAGAGGAUGAGCAGCCACACUGGAACUGAUACACGGCCCAGACUCCUACGGGAGGCAGCAGUGGGGAAUAGUGCACAAUGGGCGCAAGCCUGAUGCAGCCAUGCCGCGUGUAUGAAGAAGGCCUUCGGUUUGUAAAGUACUUUCAGCGGGGAGGCGUUACCCGCAGAAGAAGCACCGGCUAACUCCGUGCCAGCCGCCGCGGUAAUUC